ACAAUCGUUUUUGUUUGUGCGCAAAAUUCGUAUUUUUGUGCUCCGAGCUUAGGCCGCGGUUGAUCUUUUUGCCUGAAAACUCGUUUCGCGUUUUUUUAGUCAAAAUCUUAAUUGAAUUUGUGUGACUUUCAAAACCUAUCGCUGUACGACAAGUGGACAUCCAUCGCCGUCGCCAACUGAACCAGUUUUGAUCGUCGCCAUCAACCAGGACUCAAUUUUGCAGCUUCAUGCUCACAUCUUGGCCGUACGGCCACAGCGGCCCGGAUUUGGAGGCACAACCACCAGAACGACUAGAAUUCGGCGAAAAAUGCAUUUUCCCACUACCUUCAAGCCCGAUCGGGAUGGCGACGACAACAAAUAAUUCGGUGGCAUCAGCACAGCGCGUUCGGUACAGGCGAAAUUAGCAAAACAUUCGCAGUCAUCAACAGUUAGAUGCAAAGGAAUAUGAAGUGUUCGAGGCAUCUAUGUUGGGGCACACAAGAUACAUGCUGACAUUGUGAUUUAAGCAUGCUGCACGAGGUCACUUGAUCACAAAUUUAACUAGUCGGUGAGUAACGACUUCAAAUCAAGUGGAUUAAGAUCAAAUUAUUUACUAAGCGGUUCAGUUUGAUAAAACAGUAAACUUUACCCGGUUAACCCGGUUAUUGUACCCAAUGCGAUUUGCAUAU